rnacentral:rRNA from 1 species
UGGGGAAUUUUGGACAAUGGGCGAAAGCCUGAUCCAGCAAUGCCGCGUGUGUGAAGAAGGCCUUCGGGUUGUAAAGCACUUUUGUCCGGAAAGAAAUCCUUGGCUCUAAUACAGUCGGGGGAUGACGGUACCGGAAGAAUAAGCACCGGCUAACUACGUGCCAGCAGCCGCGGUAAUACGUAGGGUGCAAGCGUUAAUCGGAAUUACUGGGCGUAAAGCGUGCGCAGGCGGUUUGCUAAGACCGAUGUGAAAUCCCCGGGCUCAACCUGGGAACUGCAUUGGUGACUGGCAGGCUAGAGUAUGGCAGGAGGGGGGUAGAAUUCCACGUGUAGCAGUGAAAUGCGUAGAGAUGUGGAGGAAUACCGAUGGCGAAGGCAGCCCCCUGGGCCAAUACUGACGCUCAUGCACGAAAGCGUGGGGAGCAAACAGGAUUAGAUACCCUGGUAGUCCACGCCCUAAAACGAUGUCAACUAGUUGUUGGGGAUUCAUUUCCUUAGUAACGUAGCUAACGCGUGAAGUUGACCGCCUGGGGAGUACGGUCGCAAGAUUAAAACUCAAAUGAAUUGACGGGGUCAUAGCUGUUUCCU